rnacentral:rRNA from 1 species
SAAAUGACUCUCGGCAACGGAUAUCUCGGCUCACGCAUCGAUGAAGAACGUAGCAAAAUGCGAUACUUGGUGUGAAUUGCAGAAUCCCGUGAACCAUCGAGUUUUUGAACGCAAGUUGCGCCCGAAGCCAUCCGGUUGAGGGCACGCCUGCCUGGGCGUCACGC